rnacentral:rRNA from 1 species
GACGAACGCUGGCGGCGUGCCUAAUACAUGCAAGUCGAACGCAGUGGGGACGGGUGCGUAACACGUGGGUAACCUCCCAUCAGAGGGGAUAACACUUGGAAACAGGUGCUAAACCGAUACUGAUGGAUGGACCCGCGGUGCAUGAGCCAGUUGGUGAGGUAACGGCUCAACAAGGCGACGAUGACUAGCGGACAUGAGAGGGUGAUGGGCAACACGGGAACUGAGACACGGCCCAGACUCCUACGGGAGGCAGCAGUAGGGAAUAUUCGGCAAUGGACGAAAGUCUGACCGAGCAACGCCGCGUGAGUGAAGAAGGUGUUCGGAUCGUAAAACUCUGUUGUUAGAGAAGCGGUAUCUAACCAGAAAGCCACGGCUAACUACGUGCCAGCAGCCGCGGUAAUAC